rnacentral:rRNA from 1 species
GACGAACGCUGGCGGCGCGCCUAACACAUGCAAGUCGAACGAGAGAUGAAGAGCUUGCUCUUCAAAUCGAGUGGCGAACGGGUGAGUAACGCGUGAGGAACCUGCCUCAAAGAGGGGGACAACAGUUGGAAACGACUGCUAAUACCGCAUAAGCCCACGGCUCGGCAUCGAGCAGAGGGAAAAGGAGCGAUCCGCUUUGAGAUGGCCUCGCGUCCGAUUAGCUAGUUGGUGAGGUAACGGCCCACCAAGGCGACGAUCGGUAGCCGGACUGAGAGGUUGAACGGCCACAUUGGGACUGAGACACGGCCCAGACUCCUACGGGAGGCAGCAGUGGGGAAUAUUGCACAAUGGGGGAAACCCUGAUGCAGCGACGCCGCGUGGAGGAAGAAGGUCUUCGGAUUGUAAAGCUCUAUCAGCAGGGAGAAGAAUGACGGUACCUGACUAAGAAGCACCGGCUAAAUACGUG